ACAGGGAUUGCCCUAGUAACGGCGAGUGAAGCGGCAACAGCUCAAAUUUGAAAUCUGGCUCUUUUAGAGUCCGAGUUGUAAUUUGCAGAGGGCGCUUUGGCUUUGGCAGCGGUCCAAGUUCCUUGGAACAGGACGUCACAGAGGGUGAGAAUCCCGUACGUGGUCGCUGGCUAUUGCCGUGUAAAGCCCCUUCGACGAGUCGAGUUGUUUGGGAAUGCAGCUCUAAAUGGGAGGUACAUUUCUUCUAAAGCUAAAUAUUGGCCAGAGACCGAUAGCGCACAAGUAGAGUGAUCGAAAGAUGAAAAGCACUUUGGAAAGAGAGUCAAACAGCACGUGAAAUUGUUGAAAGGGAAGCGCUUGCAGCCAGACUUGCUUGCAGUUGCUCAUCCGGGCUUUUGCCCGGUGCACUCUUCUGCAGGCAGGCCAGCAUCAGUUUGGGCGGUAGGAUAAAGGUCUCUGUCACGUACCUCUCUUCGGGGAGGCCUUAUAGGGGAGGCGACAUACUACCAGCCUGGACUGAGGUCCGCGCAUCUGCUAGGAUGCUGGCGUAAUGGCUGUAAGCGGCCCGUCUUGAAACACGGACCAAGGAGUCUAACAUCUAUGCGAGUGUUUGGGUGUCAAGCCCGAGCGCGUAAUGAAAGUGAACGGAGGUAGGAACCCGCAAGGGUGCACUAUCGACCGAUCCUGAUGUCUUCGGAAGGAUUUGAGUAAGAGCAUGGCUGUUGGGACCCGAAAGAUGGUGAACUAUGCUUGAAUAGGGUGAAGCCAGAGGAAACUCUGGUGGAGGCUCGCAGCGGUUCUGACGUGCAAAUCGAUCGUCAAAUUUGGGCAUAGGGGCGAAAGACUA
rnacentral:rRNA from 1 species